rnacentral:rRNA from 1 species
UACGUAGGCAGCGAGCGUUGUUCGGAAUUACUGGGCGUAAAGAGUGUGUAGGCGGUGUUCCCAGUCUGUUGUGAAAUCUCCCGGCUUAACUGGGAGGGUGCAGCGGAAACUAGAAUGCUAGAGGGUGGGAGAGGUAAGCGGAAUUCCUGGUGUAGCGGUGAAAUGCGUGAGAUAUCAGGAGGAACACCUGUGGUGUAGACAGCUUACUGGACCACUUCUGACGCUGAGACACGAAAGCGUGGGUAGCAAACAGG